rnacentral:rRNA from 1 species
AUUGAACGCUGGCGGCAGGCUUAACACAUGCAAGUCGAGCGGAGAUGAGGUGCUUGCACCUUAUCUUAGCGGCGGACGGGUGAGUAAUGCUUAGGAAUCUGCCUAUUAGUGGGGGACAACAUUCCGAAAGGAAUGCUAAUACCGCAUACGCCCUACGGGGGAAAGCAGGGGAUCUUCGGACCUUGCGCUAAUAGAUGAGCCUAAGUCGGAUUAGCUAGUUGGUGGGGUAAAGGCCUACCAAGGCGACGAUCUGUAGCGGGUCUGAGAGCAUGAUCCGCCACACUGGGACUGAGACACGGCCCAGACUCCUACGGGAGGCAGCAGUGGGGAAUAUUGGACAAUGGGGGGAACCCUGAUCUAGCCAUGCCGCGUGUGUGAAGAAGGCCUUAUGGUUGUAAAGCACUUUAAGCGAGGAGGAGGCUACUGAGACUAAUACUCUUGGAUAGUGGACGUUACUCGCAGAAUAAGCACCGGCUAACUCUGUGCCAGCCGCCGCGGUAACAC